UGGUGCCGUGUACCCGGAUGGGAGUGAGUUUAGGAGGGUGAGUGUAACGGAGGCCAGCAGGUGUCGCUGUGCAGAUGUAGUUAAUAAACCUUACUCCCAAUAGCUCAAAAGGAUUAUCUGGUCACAAGGCCAGAGCACUGGGUUGUAGCCUUCUGGUUAGAGUCCGACUUCCAUGCCAAGGAGCGUGAGUUUGCGUCCCAAGCGGAG